rnacentral:rRNA from 1 species
UUUUAUUUGAGAGUUUGAUCCUGGCUCAGGAUGAACGCUGGCGGCGUGCCUAACACAUGCAAGUUGAGCGAUUUACUUCGGUAAAGAGCGGCGGACGGGUGAGUAACGCGUGGGUAACCUACCCUGUACACACGGAUAACAUACCGAAAGGUAUGCUAAUACGGGAUAAUAUAUUUGAGAGGCAUCUCUUGAAUAUCAAAGGUGAGCCAGUACAGGAUGGACCCGCGUCUGAUUAGCUAGUUGGUAAGGUAACGGCUUACCAAGGCGACGAUCAGUAGCCGACCUGAGAGGGUGAUCGGCCACAUUGGAACUGAGACACGGUCCAAACUCCUACGGGAGGCAGCAGUGGGGAAUAUUGCACAAUGGGCGAAAGCCUGAUGCAGCAACG